AAUCUUGAAUGAUACAAACGUUAUUGUUGGACGAUUUAGGUGAAAACGGUGUUAGACAAUAAUUAUUUUUAACUAGAAAAUGCAAAAAUGAUGAAUCGCUGUGUGGUGUGCAAAAAAAUCAGCAGUAAAAGCAGUGGGAAAUCCAUGCACCGAAUGCCUACUGAUAGUGCUCGACAGAAAUUAUGGAUGGACCAGUUAAAACUGAAAAUUUCAGAAUCUUCCAAAUGGCUAUAUGUUUGCUCUGACCAUUUCUGUGACGAAGAUUUCAUCCUUAAAUUUGGAAAAAAAUGUUUGAAAACUGAAGCUAUUCCAUCCAGGAUUUCAUUGCCUGAUCCUUGUUCAAGUAACACAUUAGCGGCUUCAGACGAAAGGUAUAUGACCCAGGACCCAUCAGAUGUUGGUAAAGUUGGGGAGUCCUCAAAAUUGAUUGGUUCUGAAUUAUCAGAAACUUCAGAUUUGUCUGCUACCGCAAGUGCUUCAGAGUUAUCUGCCACAUUGACUGCUUCCGAUUUAUCUGCUACAGACAUGUCUGUUGCUUUGGCCGCUUCAGAUUUAUCAGGCAAAGUCGAUUCCUUAGAAGUAUUUGAUACUGAAAAAUUUGCAGCACCACAUACAAAUACGUACCGAAGUAUUCCUCAGAAGCUCUGUGAGCUUGUACGAGUUCGCAGAACCAGCUGUCCUGUGUAGGCAUUGUUGCAGUGUCCUUACACCACCUUACCUAUAUUGACUAGAAAAUGUCUUCUCAAGCCCAGAAUCAAACACAGUACCUUGCGGUAUACCAGGUGACGCUUUAACCACCAAGCCACAGCCACUAUGCAAUCCACAUAAUGAUCUCAAGCCUUAGAAGAAAAAUACAUUACAAAGUAAAAGAAUUGCAAUGAUCGCACCAGUCUGUUGAUACCCCUCAUCAAAGAAACUACGUGUAUUUCCUUUAUUUUCAAAUUUGAUAGUAUCUGUCCAUUGUCAUGUUGUCAAACUUUCAGAAUCCUAUUGUUUCGUUUAUAUAUUCUAUUUUCCAGAUCUAUAUGUACUAAAAAUGAUUGAUAAUUUUUAUCUUGAAAUAGUGUGGUACUCACCACAUAUUCAAUUGUGCAAAAUGGUUGAAAACAAAAUAAUACUUGAUUCAAGUUCAGCAAUGAAUUCAGUAAUCUAAUAAAAGAAUUAUGCUUUCUAAUUAGUCCCUCUUAUUAUAAAUGUUGCAUAUAAAUGUUGUGCUACAGGAUUAUUGUGAUAUGUUUUUAUAAAGGAAUUUUUUGUCAGUAUUAAGUUUUCAAUCAUUUAAUAAGAACAUUCAAUCAUUUAAAUUUUAAGUAUAAUUUUGAUAAAGACGCAUUAACUAUUUUGAGAAUUGUCAGAGUCUUAGUUAAUUCUGUGAGCUCCUUAUUGACCUAUUUAUUUAUGUCAUUGUACUGUAAUGUUUUUCCGGAUGGAGUUGUAUAAUAAUAAUUAAAAAUUUUUCUUAUAAGAUUUUGUUCAUUUUUUCUAUAGGAAUAUUUCUUCUAUUCCUGUUCGACUACAAAAGCAAGUUUUAAUGAAUUAUUGUAAUUAAUUUCUAAAUAAAAUGUAGAAAACAAAAUUUAAGGCUAUAUCACAUAUUAUUUUCUUGUGAAAUACUAGCUAUCAACAUGAUCGAAUCUGUAUUUUUGGAAUUAUUGAAAAAAUAAAUUUUUCCUCACAUCA